rnacentral:piRNA from 2 species
UGGAGAAGAGAUCCUGAUCACGGUGCUGUC